UACGUAGGGUGCGAGCGUUGUCCGGAAUUAUUGGGCGUAAAGAGCUCGUAGGCGGUGUGUCACGUCGGCCGUGAAAACCUGCAGCUUAACUGUGGGCGUGCGGUCGAUACGGGCAUCACUGGAGUUCGGCAGGGGAGACUGGAAUUCCUGGUGUAGCGGUGAAAUGCGCAGAUAUCGGGAAGAACACCCGUGGCUAAGGCGGCUCUCUAGUACGGUACUGACGCUGAGACGCGAAAGCGUGGGGAGCGAACAGG
rnacentral:rRNA from 1 species